UUUUUUUUUUUUUUUUUUUUUUGAGGUUGGCAUAAAAUUUGGCUGGCUACUUUAAUUGUAUAAUUAAGCUGUGCCUCAUUAAGGUUCUACUUUUAAAAAAAAUUCCAUUAAAAACUCUUGGUAGUUUAUAGUAAAUAAUUGGCUUGUUUCUGAAAAAACGUUAACUCUAAUUGUUAGAGAUCUCAAUCAUUUUUUGGUUUGGGGCAGAUUAUGGAGGGGAGGGGAGUUGUGUGGGGUAGGAGAUUUUCUUCUGUCAUUGUCAGUGCUGUUGUUUUCAAUCUGCCAUUUACUGCUUGGCAGCUGAGGGUCCAGUGCUGGAUAAUCUGCUGUUGCCACUCAGGAUGCAGCUGUUCUGCAUGGCACACAGACCUCACCUUCAAUACUGUGGGCACUUGGAAGCUCACCUUAAACAGUGGAAGAGAGAACGAAACAGUUUGGGCUCAUUGUUCUUUAUAUGCACAUUUACAAUUUUAUACAUUUUAACUUUGGCCUGUAUGCUUAUUGUAGAAAAACUGAGGUUUUUAAAGUAUGUCCUGAAAGUGUACAUUAAUGAGCUAUUAAGACCUUGGGAGUCAAUGUGCACCUUCCUCCUCGUUGGACUCAGUAACUGUGGAAGCUGUUGCUUGUUUGAUUUUUCUAACAUCUGAGAUCCAUCUGUGCUCAUCGAAGAAUUGGUUCAGAAAGGAGAGAACUUGUUCAUGAGUUUAUUAUACAUUUCACUUAAUCUCGUAGGCUUUUCUUAGAAAAUAAAAUUGAACCAAGUAUAGCUAUGCACACUUGUAGUCCCAGCUGAGGCAGGGGGAUCACCUGAACCUCAGUAGGUGGAGACCAGCCAGAGUGGUAUUGUAAUGCCUGUCUCAAAGAAGAAAGAAAAAAAAAAAUGGAGACGCUAUUAAGCAUUUUUUUGUAAAGGGAUGCUUAACUAUAGCCCCACCUUAGCUUCCUCCCUGUUCCUCUCGCUGACUACUGUAGCUGCAGGCCAGCAGACUUACAUCAGAUACACAUGUGUAACAGGUCCUGGGAACAAGGGUCCUCAUUUCUCCCAAAGUAGUGCUCUUAGCCACUCCACCUCUUACCUGAAGAGCAUGCAAUCCGUUUUUAGUAUUAAAUUGAUGCUUUAAAUAAUUGUGCAUCUUUUUAGUCAUGUCUAAGAUAACCAAAUUACCAAAUCACUUUCUAUACUAGCAAUUUUAUAUUAAUCUCCAAGUCUCUGACGGGAAGAAAAAUACCCAAGUCUU
rnacentral:lncRNA from 1 species